rnacentral:lncRNA from 1 species
AGGACCCCGACUCAAAUCCCGGCCCCGCCUACAGCGGGGUGCUGCCUCCGGAGCCCUCGAACCUCGUCCCACUUCUUCCCCGGCCCCUGGAAGCUCAGACCACGCCCUCGGAGUGCUCAGGGCCGUCCUUUGAACUCCCAGGCCCAGCCUCCCCAGCACUCCGGAGGCCGGCCGUCGGGUGCGGCGCCCGGGACCCUAGGCCACGCCCCACGCUUCCAGGCCACGCCCCGGAGCCAGGACCACGCCCACCCCGCAGGAGUCCGAAGCGGCCAUGGGGACUCCCAGUAGCCCGGAGGAGAGGUCCGGCUCCCCGCCGGUCCCCGAGUGCGACGCAGAGGUUCAGCCCCAAGGAGCCUCCCAGCCCCAUGAUCACCCCGAUGAGCCCCGCGAACAGGAGGCGCCCGGGGUCCCGGCGGAGCUUCCUAGCGGCCAAGGAGUUGAGCAGCAGACUGAGGAAGAGGAAGAAGUGGGAGAAGGCAGCAGCACCGAGAGCAGCCGGGAGGAGCCCGAGGGCGCACCCCGGGCACAGACUCCGGCCUCGCCCUCCACCUGCACCCCUUAUGGGGAAGGGGUGAGAGCAGCCCGGAGGAGGCUCCAAGCCCAGAAGCUGGAGGCAGUGACUCGCGUUGCCCUGUUGGAGCAGAGACUGAAGGAGCUUCAGCGUCAAAAGAAGGAGCUGAGGAUCCAGAUGGAGGUGGAGGUGGCCCUGAUACGGGGUGAACUGGCUGGAGAGAGAGUGGCCCUGCGGCGGGAGGAGGAGCAGCUCCGAGAGCUGCUAGGGCAGCUGGUGGUCCAGGAGCCUGGCAGCCAGGAGCGGGAACAGGUUUGUUCACCUACUGUUUCUUUUCCAGUGGUUUCCUUCCUUGAGUGUGUGCAUGGAAGGAGGUAUUGGUGGGUAUUGGUGGUGUUUUUUCUGGUGACUUGUGUCCG